AGUGAACGCUGGCGGCAGGCCUAACACAUGCAAGUCGAACGGCAGCACAGUACGAGCUUGCUCUUACGGGUGGCGAGUGGCGGACGGAUCAGGAAUAUAUCCGAAUCUACUUUUUCGGAGGGCAUAACGUAGGGGAACUUACGCUAAUACCGCAGACGACCUACGGGUGAAAGCAUUGGAUCUUCGGACCUUGCGCGGAUGAACGAGCCGAUGUCGGGUUAGUUGGUUGGCGGGGUAAAGGCCCAGCAAGGGGACGAUACGCAGCUGGACUGAGAGGAGGGUCGGCCACAUUGGAAGUGAGACACGGUCCAGACUACUAAGGGAGGCAGCAGUGGGGUAUAGGGGACAAUGGGCGCAAGCCUGACACAGUGAUCGCGCGCGGGAUAAGAAGGCCUUCGGGUUGGAAAGCCCGUUUUUUGGGAAAGAAAAGCAGUAGGUUAAUACCCCGCUGUUGUGACGGUACCCAAAGAAGAAGCACCGGCUAACUACGUG
rnacentral:rRNA from 1 species